UUCUGCUCCAGCAGGAGGAGGGAUGAACCUCCCACUGGAUGGUCUGCAUGACCGGCGUCACUGAGGGGAGAGAGGGGGCCGAAACACGAUCACAUUCAGAGUGAAAGAGGCUUCUGUCCCAGCUGCCUUUUACUUCCUGCAUGCGACAAAGACAUGUUCAGAAGCUCAUACUCGCAAAGUUGGCAACAUCGAUCACUCCUGCUGCAUUUCUUGUUCUAUGGCAGACGAGUUCAUGCAGGGAAAUGGACACGUCGUCAGCGUGCUUGGAGGGUGAAAUCCUUGAGAGCAGCUGCGUGGUGGCGUGAACGCUGCAUGGCGGCGAGUGUGCAAUGAUGAUGGUAUCAGAAGGCCAUGACAAAGAGGCUUAUCUUAAAUCAGCUUACAUCAUGUCAGGAGUGUGGCCUUGUAGCCCAGCAAGAGCAGAUAUCAUCAAGACUGUGGGAGAACUUGGCUGGAAAAGUCAAUAUUUCUGUGAUUGAAAGUGUCUCAAUGAUACUGUAUUUUAUGAGAAACAAUAGCUGAUAGAUAAUUCUUGGAAGCAUGACAAGGUCACUGCUUGUAUUGACUAUCAUUGAUCAGAGCUAAUUGAUGUAUUAUGUGUUUUAUUCUCUGCUGGUUGCUGCCAUUGAUCACUUGUAAGAGGAGCGAUCGCAUUAAUGUCUUAUUACGUCACAUCAGGAUAUGCUGUUUUAUUUCACACACCUUAGCCUCUGACUCGUCCUGCAGACUUUGAACUGUGAGGGUAAAUUAGUAACGAACCCCCCGCCUCUCUUCUGGUACUACGCAGGAUGAACACCAUAGAUCAUUAAUAGAUUUUAGCAGAGGGCAAGAUAAAAAUGUAUUGCUUUUGUUUUUUGGUUGUGAAUAAAUUACGAUUAUAGUAAUAUGUCGGAAAUAGUGGAAAUACAGUGGAUCAAGCAAAAUGUAGAGCAGAAAUGUAGCAGUCCUAGAGUGCCCACAAUUUUUACAUGUUUUUUUGUCAAGCAUUGAGAUUUUGAACUUCUUUCAGCAGUCUUUAAAUGCACCAUGGUUUUGUGCUGUGAGACGCAAAAGUGCUUUCGUAGCCAAGCAGCCUAUCUUGGACAGCCUCAAAACUUGCAGCAAGGUGAACACAAGGUAAUAAAUGAUCAUAAAUUGUUACUGGAAUCACAACAGGCGAGCAGUGUCAAUUAUGUAGAUGCGGCUUGGAGAAAUGCCUUCUUUCUCCUGGUAGCCUCUAGCGCUAACAACCAGGCUAAAGGCUCCACUGUGACUCUGAUCCCAGCUGUUCACUGAUUGUGUAUUAUUCGUUUUUGCUCGAUUUGUGCAGUUGUUAUGCACUUAAACGAUGGAAUGUAUGAACAUAAAGAUCUGUAAAACAUUUAUGUAUUUUUUUGGUUUUCUGUGUUGCUGCUGGUUUUACUGCGAUAAUUAUGACAAUUUGUUGUGGAUUUUAUGUCAUAUUCUUAAAUGUAUUACUUAUCAUUUUAUGUAUAUUAUUGAACUACAUAAAUGACUCAAAGUGACGCAAAAUUCUGUUAAAAUAAAAAGGCAUUGAUUUUGGACAAAAUUUGUAUGUUUUCCUUUUUUAAGUAUCAGUUUGGCCACUGUUUAAUCACCAGCACCGCUUCAAAAGUACCAAUUUGGUACUGGUAUCGGAUAAUAUAUAAACAAUACCCAACCCUAUUAAGACAUACAGUAUAUGAUUUAAAGCGUCAUGCAAAGACAAUGAGCGAUGAGUCACAGUUUAUGGCUGACUCACUGUGUUCAUGCUGAAAGCUCACAGCAGGCUCACUGACUAAUGAUUUAUUGACAACUGUGUGUUUGUGUUUUGUGUGCAUGCAUAUGCGUGUGCGUGUGUGUUAUUGUGUUGGAACAUAUUCUUCUUUUCAUCGGCUCAUAAUGCAGAACAAACCGACAUAAAAGAGACUGUCUCGACUGAAAAGGUCUCUCCACUUAGUGAACUUGAACUUAAAAAGGAGAUGUCUUUGAACACGUCUUUAACGCCCACAUCCCAAUGAAAGAUUUUGUAUUUUUGCUCUGUGUUACAGUUAGGCAUCACUUGUAUUUUGCAGUGUUCACUUGCCCAUAGGGAGAUACCAUAUUUCGUUAAUGUGAAAUACUAGAGAAUAGACUCAGUCAGUUUUCUUCACUACUGUUAUGUUAGUUAUGAUCGAUACUAAGAGUGUGACAAAAUAUUGAUCGCCAUAUUUAACCUGAUAAUGCAAUUAUUGAUGUGCAGUAUUGGCAUAUCAAGAUAUUCUCACAUAUCAUAUCGUAAGGCACACUGAGAUUCCCAGCCCUAGUAGAUACUGCCUUGAUCCCGAUGGAAAUUCUGGACUGAGUGAAGUCAAGUCUCAAGUCUUUCUCAAGCAGUUAAACCUCCAAGGUGUCUACUUUUCCAGGGUUCUGAGCUCUGGUUUUCAGUUUUAACGAGGCUAAUUAGUGAGAAAUGAAGCAACAAUCCUCUAUAACAGGGCUGAUAUUUUUAGAGGCUUCUUUUUGUAGCGAUGAAGACAAUUCUUAGGUGUUUCACUACCCUCCGUUUGUCUUUUGAAGUUUGCCUGAAAAUAAAAUGUCCUGCAUAUUUAACCUCACCCUAGGGCUACAGAAUGAAUAGUCAGAAUCUCACAGAGGAUCUGAAUUCAGCUCACAUCCGACAGAAUGACUUGUGGCUCUUCAGGACGCUCACCCUGAGUGCUUUGAAUUGUGUUCUAAUACAGCGGGGAAAAUAAGUGUGCUGUAUUCCUGCACAAGACAGGAGGGACUGAUUUGAACUGAGGUAAUGGCUGCAAGAGAAAGGAACACACAGUUCCAAAAUGAGGACAAGGCAAGCCAGGUCCAAAGCAUAUGAGUAAGAUAACCUGUCCCUUGAUGACAUCUGUCACAACUUGAUCUGACCCAGGGAAGAUGCAAGCCAGUUUGGUCUUUGACCACUGAACUCGGUGUACCACCUUGCACUAUAUGUAAUAUUUUGCCUUAUUUAGCUAUUAUCCGACACAGAUAUUCACAACAAAUGGUCAUAAUUAUCGUACAUGGCAAAACCAGCAGCAAUCCAGAGCACAGGGAAUGUGAAAGCACAAGAUUUGACAGUACUUUAAGUGCAUACAUUCCGCACAGUUCAAGCAGAAAUUGAUAAAUGAUACACAAUUGUGGCGAUGUUACACUCUUGUUACAACAGUGUUUGCGACUUAAUCCUACAUGCAAGAGUCGUGUUGAGCAAAAAGACGUUAGGUGACAAUAUCACCUUCAACACUGAUUGCAGGUGGUUGAGUCUGCAUCUUUUGAGGUAAAGUACAACUUCACGAACCUUUGAGCAUUUCAGUGAGCAUUUUAGCUAGAUGCUCAUCUGUGCAGGUGAAAAACUAUACCUCAUUUUUGCCAAUAUUUAGCACCAAAGUGAAACACCACUAUCUACUUACUUUUUCUAUCUAGUUACUAUCACUGUAAGUCUGCACCGGCGCCAUUG